rnacentral:rRNA from 1 species
ACGGUCCUAAGGUAGCGAAAUUCCUUGUCGGGUAAGUUCCGACCUGCACGAAUGGCGUAACGAUCUCCACACUGUCUCGGCCAGAGACUCGGUGAAAUUGCAGUCGCGGUGAAAAUUCCGUGUACCCGCAGAAAGACGGAAAGACCCUGUGCACCUUUACUAUAGCUUGACAUUGGAUUUUGGGCCUGCAUGUGUAGGAUAGGUGGGAGGCUGUGAACCCUGUACGCCAGUAUGGGGGGAGCCAUCCUUGAAAUACCACCCUUGCAUGUUUAAGAUCCUAACUUCUUCCGGUUAUCCCGGAGAAAGACAGUGUCUGGCGGGUAGUUUGACUGGGGCGGUCGCCUCCUAAAGUGUAACGGAGGCAUGCAAAGGUUCCCUCAGCCUGAUCGGAAACCAGGCGCUGAGUGCAAACGCAUAAGGGAGCUUGACUGUAAGAGAGACAUCUCGAACAGGAACGAAAGUUGGCGUUAGUGAUCCGGUGGUCCCGAAUGGAAGGGCCAUCGCUCAUUGGAUAAAAGGUACGCCGGGGAUAACAGGCUGAUCGCAUCCAAGAGUUCACAUCGACGAUGCGGUUUGGCACCUCGAUGUCGGCUCAUCACAUCCUGGGGCUGAAGCAGGUCCCAAGGGUACGGCUGUUCGCCGUUUAAAGUGGUACGCGAGCUGGGUUUAAAACGUCGUGAGACAGUUUGGUCCCUAUCUUCUGUGGGCGAAGGAGAAUUGAGAGGGCCUGUCCCUAGUACGAGAGGACCGGGAUGGACGCACCCCUGGUGAUCCUGUUGUCGCGCCAGCGGCAUAGCAGGGUAGCUAUGUGCGGAAGGGAUAACCGCUGAAAGCAUCUAAGCGGGAAGCCUGCCUCAAGAUAAGUUCUCCCCUCGAAAGAGCUGAAGGGCCCGGGUAGACUACCCGGUCGAUAGGCUGGAGGUGUAAGCACGGCGACGUGCUCAGCUGACCAGUACUAAUAGCCCGAGCGGCUUAUUUUU